AACCAAAGAGUUGAGUUCAGUUCAGGGUCUUGUCCCUGUUCUGGUAAUUAAGCUUUGGGACAGAAAUGACUGGGAAGUGCACCCUGGUGACUGAAAGCUUGUUUUAUGCCACCUGUGUUUCUCAGCCUACAAAC
rnacentral:snoRNA from 1 species